rnacentral:rRNA from 2 species
UGGUGGGUAGUUUGACUGGGGCGGUCUCCUCCUAAAGAGUAACGGAGGAGCACGAAGGUUGGCUAAUCCUGGUCGGACAUCAGGAGGUUAGUGCAAUGGCAUAAGCCAGCUUGACUGCGAGCGUGACGGCGCGAGCAGGUGCGAAAGCAGGUCAUAGUGAUCCGGUGGUUCUGAAUGGAAGGGCCAUCGCUCAACGGAUAAAAGGUACUCCGGGGAUAACAGGCUGAUACCGCCCAAGAGUUCAUAUCGACGGCGGUGUUUGGCACCUCGAUGUCGGCUCAUCACAUCCUGGGGCUGAAGUAGGUCCCAAGGGUAUGGCUGUUCGCCAUUUAAAGUGGUACGCGAGCUGGGUUUAGAACGUCGUGAGACAGUUCGGUCCCUAUCUGCCGUGGGCGCUGGAGAACUGAGGGGGGCUGCUCCUAGUACGAGAGGACCGGAGUGGAC